rnacentral:rRNA from 2 species
GGAAAGUUGAAAAGAACUUUGAAGAGAGAGUUCAACAGUACGUGAAACCGCCUAGAGGUAAACGGGUGGAUCCGCAAAGUCGGCCCGCGGAAUUCAGCUCGGAGGCUCGGCGCCGGUUGGGGGUCGGAGAUCUGAACGGACUCCUCUCCAGCCUGUUUGUCGUCGUGUCGCCGUGUGCACUUUCCGCGGGCAGAGCGCCACGACCGGUUCUCGAGCGGUCAGAAGGCGGCGAGCAAGGUGGGUGCCCGCUUCGGCGGCCACUUCUUAUAGGCUCGCCUGUCCCGAUCCGCUUGGGGACCGAGGAGCCGCCGCCGGUGUAGGCCGCUUCGCUCUCCUGGGAGGUUCGACUGGCAGAGACUGGGCAACCGUGUCUGCCGACCGCCGCCUAGGACGGACGAGGUGGGCCCGCCGGCACAGGGUCAGUGGCACAUCGGUCGGCCCUCCACCCGACCCGUCUUGAAACACGGACCAAGGAGUCUAACAUGCGCGCAAGUCGUUGGGCAGUACGAAACCCGAAGGCGAAGUGAAAGCAAGGGCCGUCUCUGACGCGCCUAGGUGGGAUCCCGGUCCCCUCGCUGGGGCUGGGCGCACCACCGGCCCGUCUCGUCCGCGUUGUCGGUGAGGCGGAGCAGGAGCGUGCACGUUGGGACCCGAAAGAUGGUGAACUAUGCCUGAGUAGGACGAAGCCAGAG